UACGUAGGGUGCGAGCGUUGUCCGGAAUUAUUGGGCGUAAAGAGCUCGUAGGCGGUCUGUCGCGUCUGCUGUGAAAUCCCGAGGCUCAACCUCGGGCUUGCAGUGGGUACGGGCAGGCUAGAGUGCGGUAGGGGAGAAUGGAACUCCUGGUGUAGCGGUGGAAUGCGCAGAUAUCGGGAGGAACACCAAUGGCGAAGGCAGCUCGCUGGGACGGUACUGACGCUGAGGCGCGAAAGCGUGGGGAGCAAACAGG
rnacentral:rRNA from 1 species